rnacentral:rRNA from 1 species
ACGAGAAUCUGUGGAAAGAGGAUUCGUCCAAUUAAAGCAGAGGACAGUGGCGGACGGGUGAGUAACGCGUGAGGAACCUGCCUUUCAGAGGGGGACAACAGUUGGAAACGACUGCUAAUACCGCAUGACACAUUGAGGUCGCAUGGCCUUGAUGUCAAAGAUUUAUCGCUGAAAGAUGGCCUCGCGUCUGAUUAGCUAGUUGGUGAGGUAACGGCCCACCAAGGCGACGAUCAGUAGCCGGACUGAGAGGUUGAACGGCCACAUUGGGACUGAGAUACGGCCCAGACUCCUACGGGAGGCAGCAGUGGGGAAUAUUGGGCAAUGGGCGCAAGCCUGACCCAGCAACGCCGCGUGAAGGAAGAAGGCUUUCGGGUUGUAAACUUCUUUUGUCAGGGACGAGUAGGAGACGGUACCUGACGAAUAAGCCACGGCUAACUACGUGCCAGCAGCCGCGGUAAUACGUAGGUGGCAAGCGUUGUCCGGAUUUACUGGGUGUAAAGGGCGUGUA